rnacentral:rRNA from 1 species
GGGUUGUGAGGUUAAGCGACUAAGCGUACACGGUGGAUGCCCUGGCAGUCAGAGGCGAUGAAGGACGUGCUAAUCUGCGAUAAGCGUCGGUAAGGUGAUAUGAACCGUUAUAACCGGCGAUUUCCGAAUGGGGAAACCCAGUGUGUUUCGACACACUAUCAUUAACUGAAUCCAUAGGUUAAUGAGGCGAACCGGGGGAACUGAAACAUCUAAGUACCCCGAGGAAAAGAAAUCAACCGAGAUUCCCCCAGUAGCGGCGAGCGAACGGGGAGCAGCCCAGAGCCUGAAUCAGUGUGUGUGUUAGUGGAAGCGUCUGGAAAGGCGCGCGAUACAGGGUGACAGCCCCGUACACAAAAAUGCACAUAUUGUGAGCUCGAUGAGUAGGGCGGGACACGUGGUAUCCUGUCUGAAUAUGGGGGGACCAUCCUCCAAGGCUAAAUACUCCUGACUGACCGAUAGUGAACCAGUACCGUGAGGGAAAGGCGAAAAGAACCCCGGCGAGGGGAGUGAAAAAGAACCUGAAACCGUGUACGUACAAGCAGUGGGAGCACGCUUAGGCGUGUGACUGCGUACCUUUUGUAUAAUGGGUCAGCGACUUAUAUUCUGUAGCAAGGUUAACCGAAUAGGGGAGCCGAAGGGAAACCGAGUCUUAACUGGGCGUUAAGUUGCAGGGUAUAGACCCGAAACCCGGUGAUCUAGCCAUGGGCAGGUUGAAGGUUGGGUAACACUAACUGGAGGACCGAACCGACUAAUGUUGAAAAAUUAGCGGAUGACUUGUGGCUGGGGGUGAAAGGCCAAUCAAACCGGGAGAUAGCUGGUUCUCCCCGAAAGCUAUUUAGGUAGCGCCUCGUGAAUUCAUCUCCGGGGGUAGAGCACUGUUUCGGCAAGGGGGUCAUCCCGACUUACCAACCCGAUGCAAACUGCGAAUACCGGAGAAUGUUAUCACGGGAGACACACGGCGGGUGCUAACGUCCGUCGUGAAGAGGGAAACAACCCAGACCGCCAGCUAAGGUCCCAAAGUCAUGGUUAAGUGGGAAACGAUGUGGGAAGGCCCAGACAGCCAGGAUGUUGGCUUAGAAGCAGCCAUCAUUUAAAGAAAGCGUAAUAGCUCACUGGUCGAGUCGGCCUGCGCGGAAGAUGUAACGGGGCUAAACCAUGCACCGAAGCUGCGGCAGCGACGCUGAUGCGUUGUUGGGUAGGGGAGCGUUCUGUAAGCCUGUGAAGGUGCGCUGUGAGGCAUGCUGGAGGUAUCAGAAGUGCGAAUGCUGACAUAAGUAACGAUAAAGCGGGUGAAAAGCCCGCUCGCCGGAAGACCAAGGGUUCCUGUCCAACGUUAAUCGGGGCAGGGUGAGUCGACCCCUAAGGCGAGGCCGAAAGGCGUAGUCGAUGGGAAACAGGUUAAUA